rnacentral:sRNA from 1 species
ACCAGGUGUGGUGAUGCACACCUAUAAUCCCAGCAGCUUGGGAGGCUGAGACAGGAGGAUUGUGAGUUCAAAGCCAGCCUCAACAAAAGCGAGGCACUAAUCAACUCAGUGACAUCCUGUCUCUA